UACUCAAUUCAAAUUCACAUCCCACUUCACAAAAGUAUAAAAUCCCCCUCCAAAAAUUAUCAAGAAAUCAUAUACAAAAACAUGUCCAACGUUGUCACCGAUCCUCGCCCCGUUGUCAGAAAGUUCCUGGCUCGGCCUCAGCACGAAGGCGUCGGCGCCACCGUCAGAAGAAGCAUCGGAAGGUUUGAGCUGAAAUACUUCGAUCCUUUUCUUGUUCUUGACGAGUUCUCAGUUUCUGCUCCAGCUGGAUUUCCUGAUCACCCACAUAGAGGUUUGUUCAUCAUUUUUUUUUCCAUUCUCAUUGAUUAUAAUUUUUUUUUAUUAUGGUGA